rnacentral:misc_RNA from 1 species
ACCAAAAAAAAAAUAAUAACCCAAAGGAAGUAUCAAUAACCUAUAUAAUAAUGCCGAAUUUUGACACAGUUUCCCCACAAUUAGUUACUAAUUCCUAAUAAGAAAAUAAUAUUAAAUAUGUCUAACAACCUUACAAUGGCCUCAAGCCCACAAAACUCCACUCAAAACCCAUUCAAGCCUAACAGGUUUACCUAAUUAUCUUCGUCAAAAUAUAUCAGCCUAAAUGUCUAAACUUCACUAUAGUCAAAAUUAUUCAACAAGCUUAGAAAAUUUAAUGAAUAUUCAUGGAGUCCUAAGCAUUGCUAUCCUGUUAUUUAAAUUCACUACAAGUUCG